UUUACGAUAUAAAUAUAUAAAUGAUACAAAGGUGUAACCUUGGCCGGGAAGGGACGGCUGAUCCAGGCCUACAGGGGCUGAAGCCUGAGCCCUGACGCUCCCUUCCGGUCUUGGAGGGACAAGACGGUCCCCACGCAGGCCCCACCUCGAGUGUCUGAUUUCAUGGACGGACCUUUAAUCAGAAGGAUUUUUCCCCUGCGGCAGCCCCAGCAAGUCCCACGAGCAGAGGCCUGUUCCCAGGAGUGGGGCCAGUGCUCCUGCCAACCUGCCUCGCACAGCGAUGGGGCGUCGCUCCAGGACCGACUGUUCCAGUCCUGCAGGAAGCCUGUCAGGGCAAAGACCGAGCCAGGACCUCCCGGCCACCGCCCUGCAUUGUUGGUCUUCCGGAGCCGAGAAGUCUCAAGGUCUUCACAACAACAACCUUGCUGCGCCGCGUUCCCAUCUCGCACCUUCCCUGAGGGCUUGCUGGCCGCUUCUCCAGUGGGAGCACCUUCGCCUCAGCAGAGCCAGAGCCCCUACAGGGACCUUCUGAACCCUCAGGAAUGCAGAAGCCUCUUGGAGAAAGCAGCCCAGCACUUAGAAUGAUGCCAUCUGUUUCACAUUUAGGAUGGAAAGGCAAGUCUGGCAAAGAUCAUUUAACCACUAUGUCUUUUUCAUUUCUGGAAUCUGCUUACUUAAGAGAGGCCUACUGAAAAAAAGAAAAAAGAGCCCUCCUAUCAUUUUCCAUGGAAGAACUUUUUUUGGCUGCCUCUAAGAGCCCCAGCACUCCAGAAGAAGGGUGUCAGGAGAAACCAUGUCAUUGCGGGAGGCCUGGCCCCACAGGUGGGUGCAAGGGGAGGCCCGGGGUUCCUGUGGGGACAUGACCCAUUGCCUCCUGUGCCUUUCAGGCCCCUGGGAUGAGCUUCUGGUUGCGGGGGCCCCGUGGGCAGAACUGGGGCUAUGCUGACGGCUUCUGGUCUGUGGACAUUGGCUGUGGGAGCCUCUGUCGGGCCAACACCAGGACACCUUCUUCAGGCAGCUGAACGCAGGCUCCUCCGCCCAACUGGGCUUCUUUCCGGCAUCCCAAGAAUGUCUCAUCGUGGCCAAUGGACCCAGAGUAUCUCCAGAAGCAGCAGUAAUUUUGAGCAUAUAAAAUGACUGUGCCUGAUCAGGAAGGCAUUUGGAGCAAGUGGAAUAUGCUCCUUAUGUCUCUCCUGACAUUGGAAACCACUUCUCUGUCUUUGAAGAAGAGCGUCUAGAGACUCGAGUGCUCCCAGAGAAGGACUGUGCGUGCCUCUCUGCUGCCAGUAAGGACGUCCAGCCCCGCGAGAGAAGCCAGGCGCGGUGACAUUUUGGCCAUGGAGGGCGUGGCCCCAGGAGCCAGCGUGGCCCAUCGGGAAGGCCAGGCCGAGUGGGGGGCCUUCAUUCCGCACAGCCAGCACCCUCCCCUGGCUCCAGCCUACCCCCAGCGUCCCUGCAGGCAUCCAGGGGUCUCUGAGCUCUUCUCCUUUCUCUGUGCCUUGGACUGUUUUGUGUCCUGGUUAACUGAGCUGUCAGCACCCGGUUCGGAGGCCCCUGGCUCCGCCUGCAUGUCUGGGAGCUCGGGGAAGCCUCAAACUCGUGACCAGGGGAGUCAACACGAACAUGUGGCAGGUCCACGACGGCAUAAACGCGUGUAAGGAGGGAAGGCAGCCAGGGGUCCUCCGGCCACUCAAUACGUAAACUAGACUUGAGACAAUAAAAUUACUUAUUAUUUUUCUUAGGGCAUUUUGGGACAAUGGCUAUUACUUUUAGUUUGCCAUUUUAACAAGUAAUAAUAUAUUUUUAUUCUUCUUGGGAGGCAGCAAGUAUCCUCUGACUCUGGGACAAUUCAUGCUUUUCCUAAUGAGCAAGGAGUGUGUUUUCCUUUGAUGCACAAAGUAGGGGUUAAAUACUGAGCGGUUGAGAUUUCCUUUCAGAACUGAAAUAAAAUAUCUGGCAUCUAUUAGUUCCACAAAAGCUAUUAGUUUCAAAAACAGCUUUAUGAAGGGACACAGUCCUGGUACCAAAACAGUAUUUCCCCAGAAUAAAUGCCU